rnacentral:snoRNA from 1 species
CAAAAUGAUGAUAGAACACUUUUUUUAUUUUCUGGUACCUCUUAUGUUAGAGCCUACGUGCUCGAUGAAUAGACUGGACUUCUGAUC